rnacentral:rRNA from 1 species
AGAGUUUGAUCAGGGCUCAGGACGAACGCGGGGGGCGUGCUUAACACAUGCAAGUCGAGCGAUGAAACACCUUCGGGUGUGAAUUAGCGGCGAACGGGUGAGGAACACGUGAAGAAUCUGCCUUCAACUCUGGGAUAACUCCGGGAAACCGGGGCUAAUACCGGAUAUGAGCCUCGAUCGCAUGAUUGGGGCUGGAAAGUUUUUCGGUUGAAGAUGACUUCGCGGCCUAUCAGCUUGUUGGUGAGGUAAUGGCUCACCAAGGCGACGACGGGUAGCCGGCCUGAGAGGGCGACCGGCCACACUGGGACUGAGACACGGCCCAGACUCCUACGGGAGGCAGCAGUGGGGAAUAUUGGGCAAUGGAGGAAACUCUGACCCAGCGACGCCGCGUGAGGGAUGAAGGCCUUCGGGUUGUAAACCUCUUUCAGUAGGGAAGAAGCGAAAGUGACGGUACCUACAGAAGAAGCACCGGCUAACUAUGUGCCAGCAGCCGCGGUAAUACAUAGGGUGCAAGCGUUGUCCGGAAUUAUUGGGCGUAAAGAGCUCGUAGGUGGUUCGAUACGUCGGAUGUGAAAAUCAGGGGCUCAACCCCUGACCUGCAUCCGAUACGGUCGAGCUAGAGUUUGGUAGGGGAGACUGGAAUUCCUGGUGUAGCGGUGGAAUGCGCAGAUAUCAGGAGGAACACCGAUGGCGAAGGCAGGUCUCUGGGCCAAUACUGACACUGAGGAGCGAAAGCGUGGGGAGCGAACAGGAUUAGAUACCCUGGUAGUCCACGCCGUAAACGGUGGGCGCUAGUUGUGCGAACCUUCCACGGUUUGUGCGACGCAGCUA